rnacentral:rRNA from 1 species
UACGUAGGGGGCAAGCGUUUGUCCGGAAUUAUUGGGCGUAAAGAGCGUGUAGGCGGUCCGGUAAGUCAGCUGUGAAAGUCAAGGGCUCAACCCUUGAAAGCCGGUUGAUACUGUCGGGCUAGAGUCCGGAAGAGGCGAGUGGAAUUCCUGGUGUAGCGGUGAAAUGCGCAGAUAUCAGGAAGAACACCAUGGCGAAGGCAGCUCUCUGGGACGGUACUGACGCUGAGACGCGAAAGCGUGGGGAGCGAACAGG